ACGGGAGGCAGCAGUAGGGAAUAUUGCGCAAUGGGGGCAACCCUGACGCAGCAAUGCCGCGUGAGUGAAGAAGGCCUUCGGGUCGUAAAGCUCUUUUAUGGGGGAAGAUGAUGACGGUACCCCAUGAAUAAGCACCGGCUAACUACGUGCCAGCAGCCGCGGUAAUACGUAGGGUGCGAGCGUUGUUCGGAAUUACUGGGCGUAAAGGGCGUGCAGGCGGAUUGGCAAGCCGGAGGUGAAAGCCCGGGGCUCAACCCCGGAGGGUCUUUCGGAACUGCCAGUCUUGAGAGGGUCAGGGGCCAGCGGAAUUCCUGGUGUAGAGGUGAAAUUCGUANAGAUCAGGAGGAACACCGGCGGC
rnacentral:rRNA from 1 species